GACGAACGCUGGCGGCGUGCUUAACACAUGCAAGUCGAACGGAAAGGCCCUGCUUUUGUGGGGUGCUCGAGUGGCGAACGGGUGAGUAACACGUGAGUAACCUGCCCCUGACUUUGUGAUAACUUCAGGAAACUGGGGCGAAUACCGGAUAGGAGCUCCUGCUGCAUGGUGGGGGUUGGAAAGUUUCGGCGGUUGGGGAUGGACUCGCGGCUUACCAGCUUGUUGGUGGGGUAGUGGCUUACCAAGGCUUUGACGGGUAGCCGGCCUGGGAGGGUGACCGGCCACAUUGGGACUGAGAUACGGCCCAGACUCCUACGGGAGGUAGCAGUGGGGAAUAUUGCACAAUGGGCGGAAGCCUGAUGCAGCAACGCCGCGUGCGGGAUGACGGCCUUCGGGUUGUAAACCGCUUUCGCCUGUGACGAGGCGUGAGUGACGGUAAUGGGUAAAGAAGCACCGGCUAACUACGUG
rnacentral:rRNA from 1 species